CUGGUAGUCUCAGCUGAGCCUCCAGAGCCUCCUUGGCUGCUGUCAUUAUUCCGUGGAGUGGCCGCACUGUCCUCACCUGCCUCGAGGCUCUGGCGCCAGCCAGACUACAUCCCUGAGGCAGCCGGGAAUCUGCGGAGACCAGGACAUAAAGAGGAGCCAGGGAUCUGCAGCGACUGCGUGGAGCAACGGCAGCUGUCAGCACGCGGCCACCAGGAGAGAGAAUGAAUCACUUCCCGCUCCACUCCUGGACUCAGAAGGAAUUGUAACCACGAAAACGAGGGGUCUCCUGGGCAGUGGUAAAGGGCCUGGCAGCUGGA